rnacentral:rRNA from 1 species
UGGGGAAUAUUGGACAAUGGGCGAAAGCCUGAUCCAGCAAUGCCGCGUGAGUGAUGAAGGCCCUAGGGUUGUAAAGCUCUUUUACCCGGGAUGAUAAUGACAGUACCGGGAGAAUAAGCCCCGGCUAACUCCGUGCCAGCAGCCGCGGUAAUACGGAGGGGGCUAGCGUUGUUCGGAAUUACUGGGCGUAAAGCGCACGUAGGCGGCUUUGUAAGUUAGAGGUGAAAGCCUGGAGCUUAACUCCAGAACUGCCUUUAAGACUGCAUCGCUUGAAUCCGGGAGAGGUGAGUGGAAUUCCGAGUGUAGAGGUGAAAUUCGUAGAUAUUCGGAAGAACACCAGUGGCGAAGGCGGCUCACUGGACCGGUAUUGACGCUGAGGUGCGAAAGCGUGGGGAGCAAANAGGAUUAGAUACCCUGGUAGUCCACGCCGUAAACGAUGAUAACUAGCUGUCCGGGGACUUGGUCUUUGGGUGGCGCAGCUAACGCAUUAAGUUGAUCCGCCUGGGGAGUACGGCCGCAAGGUUAAAACUCAAAUGAAUUGACGGGGUCAUAGCUGUUUCCUG